rnacentral:lncRNA from 9 species
CUGGAAAAGAAAAUAUAAAAAUAUAAACUUGUCUUCCAUCUCGUCGCAGGAGAUGAGUCAGCAGAACAGGAAAUUCUCCUUGCACAAGCCCUUCUGAUCCCGUGGGCUGGGUGUGUGCGGUAUCGAGCGAGGGCUGGGAAGGGGAACCGGCUUCUCUACUGCAACCACUUUGAAAGGUGAACAAUGCGAGCUGGCCGGAGUUGGAGUGACAUCCUGGAGGUCACAGAUAUUUCAGAUUUGGCCACAGAGUCAGUUUCUCUGGAAGGACUUGAAGCUUAUCUCCAGGACAUCCAAGAUCUUCCUCCUUUGAGGUCCGAAGCUGUGAAGCACUUCUCCAAGCAUGACCUAGAGGAGGCAACUCCCUUAGGUAACCAGUAGGACCUGUAUUUAGCUUGGUGUCAUUUAUGGAGUGCCAGCCAAUGGGAGUGGCAUAAAAUGGCAUGUUUGUCACGACUGUGCUUUCAGACUUUCUGCAGAGGCCAGCCCCAUGGCAAAGAAAAGUGGAGAUGACUCUGUCACGUCAAACCAGAGCUUGUUGUCUUCAAGGUUUGGAGUAAUCCAUCCACCUUUCUUCAAAAAAUGUCUCCCAUGAGCACUUAGGGGGAAGGUCAUGUCCUCAGCAGCAACUGUCGAGUAGAAACUCUUGGUCAAUAAUUAGAAAGAGAGCACAUUUUAUUGCCUCAUAUGGUAUUCCCUCCACUAUGAUAGUGUCAUCCUAGUUUUAUUAUUGUCACCCUAAAUCCCCAGCCCAGAAACAAUAGGGAUGAAGGGCAUUACUUCCUCUGCAGCAGUGAAAGCUUUUCGAAAUAGUUAUUACUAGUUGUCCAAUCAGUCAUCUUCUUUCCAUGACAGUUAAACACGGACCCUGGAAUCAGACUGUUUGAACUUCAGUUCCACUUAUUAGCAGAGAGACUGUGUCCAGUUACAUCUACUCUCUGUACUGUGUUUUCCUACCUGCAAAAUGAGGGUGAUGGUCCCUACCUCCUAGGGCUGUUGUGAAGCACCAAUGUGUUACUAUAUGUUAAGGGCUUAGAUCAGUGUCUGGCACUGCUGGUAAGUGCAAGGUAAAUAUUUGCUGCUUCUGUUGCUGUUGUUAUUCCAUUCACUUAGCACCAAGAGCAAAAGCCGUCCAUGGUGAUGCUUCACGUGACACGCCUGUAGGACAGAACAGGUGGCAUUAGCCCCAUUUCAUCAGGGUAGAGGACCUAAUAAAAAUGCUUUAUUGUGAGUGAUACUUUUUUUAACCCAAAGAACUCACUCCUUGGGACUAAACUUAAAGGGCCAGUAUCAUACUAACAUAAGAUAAUAAAAUUAAUCACCUCAUAUAAUCUUUUUUCUUUCCAAUCUUUUUUCUUUCUUUCUUCUUUCACCUCAUAUAAUCUUUUUUCUUUCCAAACCACUGUUUUUUUCUCAGAAAACUAAAUAUAGAGCUACCAUAUGACCCAGAAAUUCUACUCUUGGGCACAUAUCUAGACAAAACUUUCCUUGAAAAAGGUACAUGCACCUGUAUGUUCGUUGCAGCACUAUUCACAAUAGCCAAGACAUGGAAACAACCUAAAUGUCCACAGACAGAUGAAUGGAUUAAGAAGGUGUAGUGUAUAUACACAAUGGAAUACUACUCAGGGUGAAAAGAACAAAAUAAUGCCACUUAGAGCAACAUGGAUGGAACAAGAGACUCUCAUACCAAGUGAACUAAGUCAGAAAGAGAAAGACAAAUACCAUAUGUUAUCACUUAUAUCUGGAAUCUAAUAUAUAGCACAUAUGAACCUUUUCACAGAAAAGAAACUCAUGGACUUGGAGAACAGACUUGGGUUGCCAAGAGCAGGGGAGUGGGAUGGACUGGGAAUCUGGGGUUAAUAGAGGCAAACUAUUGCAUUUGGGGUGGAUAAGCAAUGAGAUCCUGCUGUAUAGAACAGGGAACUAUAUCUGAUCAUUUGCAAUGGAGGAUAAUAUGAGAAAAAGAAUGUGUAUAUAUAUGUGAAGGGGGACUGGGUCAAUUUGCUGUACAGUAGAAAAUUGACAGAACACUGUAAAGCAACUGUAAAGGAAAAAAUAAAAAUCAUUAAAAAAACAAUGGUUUUUAAUAAUUGGGGUCAUGGUCUCUUUUAAAAAUCAGAUGAAAACUAUAGACCCCCUGCUCAAAACAAUGCACAUGCACAUCUGCGUAGGAUAUUUUGCGUACAAUAUCAUGGGGUUCACUAACCUCACAGGCUCCUUCCAUGGACAUAGGAAGAUUGCAUAAAGAAAGUUCUGGGAUGGAUCUUCUUUACAAAAUUCUUUUUUUUUUUUUUUUUUUAGGGUCACAUCCACAGCAUAUGGAGGUUCCCAGGCUAGGGGUCAAAUCGGAGCUAUAGCUGCUGGCCUACACCACAGCCACAGCAACUGGGGAUCCAAGCCGAAUCUUCGACCUACACCACAUUUCACAGCCACACCGGAUCCCUAACCCACUGAGUAUCGAACCUGCGUCCUCAUGGAUGCUAGUCAGAUCCAUUAACCACUGAGCCACAGUGGAAACUCCUCCAAAAUUCUUUGAGGCCCAUCUCCAUGAUGACUGUUUCAAAUGCCAGGUUCCAAGGCCAUACUUCCAUAUCUCAGGAUCCAAUUUUUUUUACCUUUUUUUUC